rnacentral:rRNA from 1 species
UACGGGGGGGGUAAGCGUUGUUCGGAAUUACUGGGCGUAAAGGGCUCGUAGGCGGCCAACUAAGUCAUACGUGAAAUCCCUCAGCUUAACUGGGGAACUGCGUGUGAUACUGGAUGGCUUGGAUUUGGGAGAGGGAUGCGGAAUUCCAGGUGUAGCGGUGAAAUGCGUAGAGAUCAGGAGGAACCCCGGUGGCGAAAGCGCUCUGCUAGGCCGCAACUGACACUGAGGGACGAAAGCUAGGGGAGCGAAUGGG